rnacentral:rRNA from 1 species
GAUGAACGCUGGCGGCGUGCCUAAUACAUGCAAGUCGAGCGAACAGACGAGGAGCUUGCUCCUCUGACGUUAGCGGCGGACGGGUGAGUAACACGUGGAUAACCUACCUAUAAGACUGGGAUAACUUCGGGAAACCGGAGCUAAUACCGGAUAAUAUAUUGAACCGCAUGGUUCAAUAGUGAAAGACGGUUUUGCUGUCACUUAUAGAUGGUUCCGCGCCGCAUUAGCUAGUUGGUAAGGUAACGGCUUACCAAGGCAACGAUGCGUAGCCGACCUGAGAGGGUGAUCGCCCACACUGGAACUGAGACACGGUCCAGACUCCUACGAGAGGCAGCAGUAGGGAAUCUUCCGCAAUGGGCGAAAGCCUGACGGAGCAACGCCGCGUGAGUGAUGAAGGUCUUCGGAUCGUAAAACUCUGUUAUUAGGGAAGAACAAAUGUGUAAGUAACUAUGCACGUCUUGACGGUACCUAAUCAGAAAGCCACGGCUAACUACGUG